CCUCGGGGCGGCGGGGGGCCGGGCGCCGCGUGCCGGUGGCUUCCGAGCGCUGUGCCCGCGGCCCCGUGCCGUAACUCGGGGAAACUUGGCGCAUCCUGCCCGGCUCCGUGCCGAGCGCCGUCCUGCUGCGCGGCGCUGCGGCCGAGGGGCUGAGCCCCGGCGGCGGCCGUGUGGCUGUGGAGCGCGCGUGCGAGAGAGCCACGGGUGUUUCUGGUGCCCGCCCCGAGCUAGCAGGAUCCCGAGAGGAGUGUAACGCUUCACUUGCGGGCAUGUUCCCUCACCCCGGCGUGCCUGACACGCAGACUCAGGUGCAUCAGUUUCCUGAACUCCUUUGUCUGCAGAACCAGAAAUUGCAGGUCUUGGGCGAGCCUUUCUGCUGUGUCUAUGAAGCAUGUUCCUGCCUUCCUGCCUGUGCCUUCUCUGCGCCGCUCGUGCCUCAGCCCUAUCCCAUCCCGCUCCAUUUUGCCAUGGAUGGAUUGUUUCCUGUCUUCCCAUUCCUGCUCUAUCCCUGGCCCCUCAGCGUGCUCCCCUGUGCUAGGCCGCAGAGUUGGCCUUGGCUACGCUGUUGCCACCGCCGCAUGUAUGGGAAUAUUGAUUUUACAGUGUGUGUGCUCUGUAAAAAAUCAAUAUUUCAGUAGAUUGAGCAGAGCAUGCGGCAGUGUAAUGGAGCCCAGCCUGCUAAUGUAACAUGCAGGGGUCCUCAUUCAGAGAUUGAGGUCAGUCAGAAAAUGGAAAUGUGUUUUCUUGUUUUAUUGUCUGUUUCAGAUUUAAUGUAGGUGUUUAUGUUCUUGUGUUUAACCUAUAGCGAGCAUAGAGUUGCUUUAAAGUCACAUCCAACAGAAUGUCACGCAUUUCAUGCGACAUGCAUAAAGACAUGCCUCAGAUGGACAGCCCAUUUUUAGAGCUUAGUAAUCCCCCUCUCCCCCUUCCCCACCAUGUGUCUGUUAAACAACAGUUGAGAGGAGAAAUUAGUCAUUUUUGUUUCUCCAAAUAAAAAAUAGUUUUCUGUCAUUUGAUGCAAACUUGUGUUCUGAGAACAUAAUUAACCAUUUGCAGUGCUUUUAUUGAGUCCUGGUAUAACAGCAUGUAUCAAACAGCUCUGUAACUGGGGACGAGUGAAAACAACGAGGGAGGGAGGAGAAAUAGCAAACGUACAACACAAAACCAGAGUAGCAACCACAACUGAUUUUCAUGGAGUUGGGAUUUUAGGCAGAGUGUUCCCUAUGAUACAUUAUCUGCUUUUUAAAUCAUUGCAUCAUUCCUUAAAAUGUAGCAAAAGCAUUUCUUGAAAUGACAUAUGAAACCACUGCAUUCCCUGGUGCGGAGUCAAGAUGAGUGUGAGCUGGCUGUGGUUUCACAUCGUCAGGGAGGCUUGGUACAGCUCUAUCAUUCCUUAAUCAUUUUAUCUUCUGCCUUUGUCAGCGGCUAUUUCUCACCUACCACAUCCUCCCCCUGCAGCAGUGAAUACAGACCUGCACAAUGUGCACAGGCGUGAGUGUUGUUUGUCUUUGUGCCGAAUGUCACAAAGAAUCAGAGAUGCGGUGGGGCCCACAUG